rnacentral:sRNA from 1 species
AAGAAUCUGGCUUGAUUUUACGAUAGUGAGUGCUGGACC